CAUCACUACGCUAGAUGCAUAUCAAUAAGCGGAGGAAAAGGCUGCAGAACUGAACGACCACUACCUACGCUUAGGAUGUUGACACACGCGCGUGCUCGACUCUAUACAUGACUCUGUGCAUAUCAAUAAGCGGAGGAAAAGAAACUAACAAGGAUUCCCUUAGUAACGGCGAGUGAAGCGGGAAGAGCUCAAACUUGAAAUCUUCAAGGUUUUACCUUGACGAAUUGUAGUUUAAAGAAGUGUUUUCUGUUGAAGUUUUGGUAAAAGUUCUUUGGAAUAGGACAUCAUAGAGGGUGAGAAUCCCGUAUUUGACCAUUAUUUUCAGCUGUGUGAUACACUUUCAAAGAGUCGGAUUGUUUGGGAAUGCAGUCCAAAAUGGGUGGUAAAUUUCAUCUAAAGCUAAAUAUUGGCGAGAGACCGAUAGCGAACAAGUACCGUGAGGGAAAGAUGAAAAGAACUUUGAAAAGAGAGUUAAACAGUACGUGAAAUUGUCAAAAGGGAAGCGUUUGACACCAGUGUUGUUUUCUCGAAAAUCAAUUAAAAAAAGUUGGAUUUUGUGUUGUAUUGACCUUAACAGCUUUCUGCACUCUUUUCCUGCUUUUUUUAAUGCACUUUUCGUUUAACAAGUCAACAUCAGUUUCUUUUGUUGUAAAAGGGUCAUUGGAAGGUGGCUUUCUUUUCGGAGAAAGUGUUUAUAGCCUUUGAUCUCUGCAAUCGGAGAGGACUGAGGUCUGCAGCGUAGAUCCUUCGGGGUUAGAUACAUUUGUGCUAAGUUAUAACUUUUCAUAGACAACUUGUUGACUAAUGUUUUAGUCAUGUAGCUUACUCGCUUAUGCUAUUUUACCUACGCUUAGGAUGUUGACGCAUGAGAUAUACGC
rnacentral:rRNA from 1 species